GAUACUUUCUUGUGAACACAAAAAGUUUGAUACUAUUUCAAAUGUUUUCCGCGGUAGGUCGGUACUUAACGACAGCACCCGCUUCUGACCUCCUAGACUCCUAGCCUUCGCCUGAGCUCCACCUCCGGUGCUUUUAACCCAGACGUGUAAAUGGGAAUAGGGUUUAGCUCAUCUCUAUCUGGUAAGCAGACUCUUCAACUCGCAUCAAUUUGCUCUUAAUUUCACCUAAGUAGAGUUGGGUUUCCUUCAAUUUUGUGAAUUUCAUAACCAUGGAUCCACGUUUCUCUGAAUUUCCCAGUUUCAAUGAUCAAACCCUUUUGCCUGAUAUGUUGAGUGAGUACCCAAGUAGUGAUCCUUCUCAAGAUCUUAGCUUUUUGGACCCAAAUCCCAGUAACUCUUCAUCAAGCUUUAGCCCUGAGGGAGAUGAUAGUGAGUUUUCUGACAGUGUCCUCAAGUACAUAAACCAGGUGCUUAUUAAGGAGGAAAUGCAAUCAAAACCCUGUAUGUUCCAUGACCCUUUGGCUCUUCAAGCCACUGAGGAGUCUCUUCAUGAGAUUAUUGGAGGAGGGAAAAACCCAACUUCCCAACACCUAAACCCUCUUUGUGUUGAUCAAAAUGUGUAUGGAAAUGGGAAUGGGAAUGGGAUGCUGGGUUCUUAUAGGAGUGAGCUAAUUGUUCCUGAUAUGCUUAGUAAGAGUGAAUUGUUAUUGCAAUUUAACCUAGGGGCAGAGGAGGGUAGUAAGUUUCUUCCUAGAGGUCAAUUGAUUAGUGCAGAGGGCAACAAGCCGUAUGCUGUGGCAGAUAGAAAGGCUGGAGAUGUGGUAGUCCCGACCCAGAAGAAUGGGAGUGAGCAUUUUCGUGUUGGUUCUAGAGGAAAGAAAAAUCAUCAAAGGGAAGAUAUAGAUUUGGAGGAUGGGAGGAGUAACAAGCAAUCGGCGGUUUAUAUGGAUGGUGAGGAGGGUGAGCUGUCUCAUAUUUUUGACAAGGUGUUGCUCUCCAAGCCUAUCAAGAGUAAAGACGAUCAAGUCAGUCAGAAUGGAGCAAACAAUAGCCCGCAGCAGGAUGGGCUAUCUGUUGGAAUUGGUAAUGGGAAGGUUUGUGGCAAGAAUCAAGGCAACAAGAAGGAAGUGAUAGAUUUGAGGGCUCUUCUGAUUUCAUGUGCAGAAGCUGUAUCUGUUGAUGACCGCGAGACUGCUAGUGAGCUACUAAAGCAGAUUAUGCAGCACUCUUCCCCAUUUGGUGAUUGUACUCAGAGGUUGGCUCAUUGCUUUGCAAAUGCUCUUGAAGCGCGGUUGGCUGGCACAGAACCUCAAAUAUAUACUGCUUUAACUACUAAACGAAUGUCAGCUGCUGAUUCGCUGAAGUUUUACCAAGCUUAUAUUGCAGUCUGCCCGUUCAUGAAGUUGUUGAUGAUCUUUGCAAACGAUAUGAUUUUAAAAGCUGCUGAGAAAGCAGAAACACUACAUAUAAUAGAUUUUGGUAUCCGUUAUGGUUUUCAAUGGCCAGCUCUCAUUCAUUGCCUCUCAAGAAGACCUGGUGGACCUCCGAAAUUACGCAUUACAGGGUUAGAGUUUCCCUCAAGUGGUUUUCGACCAGAAGAAGGAGUCCAAGAGACAGGGCAUCGCUUGGCAAAGUAUUGUAGGCGAUUUAAUGUUCCUUUUGAGUACUAUGGCAUAGCCAAAAAAUGGGAAACUCUCCAAUUUGAUGACCUUAGAGUUCAAAGAAAUGAGGUGCUUGCUGUUAAUUGUCUCAACCGAUUCAAGUACCUCCUUGAUGAGACUGUUGUGGUAAACAGUCCACGGGAUACUGUUCUAAAUUUAAUUAGGAAUUUGAAUCCUGAUGUCUUUGUCCAGAGUGUUGUUAAUGGAUCCCAUCAUGCACCCUUCUUUGUUCCACGCUUCCGAGAGGCACUAUUCCACUUCUCUGCAUUGUUUGAUAUGUUGGAUACCAAUUUGCCUCGUGAAGAUCAGAUGAGAUUGGGGUUUGAGAAAGAGUUUAUUGGACGUGAAGUUGUGAAUAUAGUAGCUUGUGAGGGCUUUCAAAGAAUUGUUAGGCCAGAAACAUACAAGCAGUGGCAGAUUCGAAACAUGAGGGCUGGGUUCAGACAGCUGCCAUUGGACCGUGAAGUCAUGAACAAAAUAAAGGAUAAGGUAAAAAUGGGGUACCACCCUUCUUUUGUGGUUGAUGAAGAUGGCCACUGGAUGCUGCAUGAAUGGAAGGGCAGAAUUCUGUAUGCUUCCGCCUGUUGGGCACAUUCUAGGACUUGAAAUGCUUGACUGUUAGAAUUGACUCGGACAAAUUGGCAAACACGUCAUCUUUCCAACCUUGAAGUACUUCUUCUAACUUGUGGAAGAUAAAAUUGUAAGAAGAGGAAGACAAAAACGAAGAAGAAAAAGCACAGAAACAAAGAGUCGUUUAAAGACUUGUUAGAAUCGGCAGUGUUUUUUGAAUCGACUGCUCCAUUUCUUUCUGGUAUGUAUCCAGUUCAUUAAUGAAGGCAACCUUUGUACUUUCCAAAAGACAUGGACUGAUAUAGAAACAGAGUAGUGCAGCAGAAGAUGUCAUCUGAGAUUCAGAAUCGGUGUAUGGUGAAAAUCUGAAGCCUAAUAUGGCUACAUACUAAAGCAUAGGUGUCCUCAUGAGAUGACUCAUCACAAUAGCGUAAACAUACCAUUUUAAUGAUGGAAACCACUGAUUUGAUAGAACAGUCACAAAACCGAUAUUAAAGGUGGCCUCAUCAACUCAGAUGCAACUCAAUAAGGGCAGUGAAUCUGUGAUGCCAUAUAUUUUCUCAUGCUCUGCAAUGCAUCUUACUGUAUCCACGAAGGAUAUUUGGUGCUACGAUUUAUUUGUUUUUUUUUUUUUGUUAGAGUUUAGGAUUUUGAGUGUCAACUCAAUUGAGCAAACAUUUGAUGAGACUUUACGUGCUUUAUUGAGCAAAUGAGUUGUGCGUUCAUCACACCUUUUUUGGUGUUUAUGGUGUGCUGAAAGCGGAUCACCGUUUGUAAUAUAGUCUAUGAUUAAAGUACAUUAGAGGAUCCAUUUCCAGGAGAGUCUCUUUGUAAUAUUUUUCUUU